rnacentral:rRNA from 1 species
GACAGAGGGGGCAAGCGUUGCUCGGAAUUACUGGGCGUAAAGGGCGCGUAGGCGGAUAUUUAAGUCAGGGGUGAAAUCCCAGAGCUCAACUCUGGAACUGCCUUUGAUACUGGGUAUCUCGAGUAUGGAAGAGGUGAGUGGAAUUCCGAGUGUAGAGGUGAAAUUCGUAGAUAUUCGGAGGAACACCAGUGGCGAAGGCGGCUCACUGGUCCAUUACUGACGCUGAGGUGCGAAAGCGUGGGGAGCAAACAGG